CUGCUGCCUUCCGUAGGAGUCUGGUCCGUGUCUCAGUACCAGUGUGGGGGGACCUUCCUCUCAGAACCCCUACNCAUCGUCGCCCG
rnacentral:rRNA from 1 species